rnacentral:rRNA from 1 species
AUUGAACGCUGGCGGCAGGCUUAACACAUGCAAGUCGAACGAGUGGCGGACGGGUGAGUAAUGCUUGGGAAUCUGGCUUAUGGAGGGGGAUAACGACGGGAAACUGUCGCUAAUACCGCGUACCAUAGGAUGAGCCCAAAUGGGAUUAGCUGGUUGGCGGGGUAAAGGCCCACCAAGGCGACGAUCAGUAGCGGGUCUGAGAGGAUGAUCCGCCAAACUGGGACUGAGACACGGCCCAGACUCCUACGGGAGGCAGCAGUGGGGAAUAUUGGACAAUGGGCGCAAGCUGAUCCAGCCAUGCCGCGUGAAUGAAGAAGGCCUUCGGGUUGUAAAGUUCUUUCGGUGACGAGGCGUUAAUCACAGAAGAAGCACCGGCUAACUCCGUGCCAGCAGCCGCGGUAAUUC